GGGGAUGUAGCUCAAUGGUAGAGCACAUGCUUUGCAUGUAUGGGGUACUGGGUUCGAUUCCCUGCAUCUCCA